CACGUGUGAUUUCCAAAUAAAAUCUCAUUCCUAUUUAUAGGAAUUUUUAUGUCUCUUCAUAGAGACAUCUUCAAUAGGUAUCUUUCUGAAUAAUUAUGUCUUUAAAAUAAACACAUAAUUAUUCAUUUAAGAUUAUAACUAUUCAAUUAAUAUUAUUAAAUAGUUAUAAUUCUUUUUCAAAAAAUCAAAUAAUAUAACUUUUGAUUAAUUACACUCAUUCAUUUAUAGUUAUUGGAACACUAUAAAUAUUUGAAAAUGUUCCAACAAUCUCCC
rnacentral:lncRNA from 1 species